UCAUCUCACUUGUAUGUUUAUCAUGUUUUCCUUCUGGGGGAAACUAUGCAUCUCGUUUGGAUAUCUUCCCCUUUUUCUCUCUAAUCUAGUUUGGACAUUGUCUCUGCUUCCAUCUGUACACAGGUGAGUUAUCUCAUCCUAUCACAGCCCUUCAUCCUGCCAAGCAUGGGAAUUCACAGCUCAGGGGCCGCUAUCUGGACGGCGACUGAACUUUAUCUGGCCAUGGGGGCACCAGGGGCGGAGAUGGCUCCCGACGCAAGAUCAGACAAGUCCACGCCAUGCCAACACUCAGAACACUAUGAUACAGUGUAACAGGAGUCAACAUCCCACAGCCGGUUGGACUGGAGGAUGAUACUGUGCUGGUGGGAAGCUAUGGUUGGAAACAACACCUGACUCUGUACCACAGAUCAAGCAGUACCAGCACUUCAGCUUCGGUGCUCUGGAGCCUGGUGUUGUUGUCGCCAUGGAGUGUUCGGACUCAGUCGGAACCAGGUUGCAGCUGCUGCGCAACGCUGACAUCCUUCCUCCCAUAGAUGGUCUGCCUGUACAAUCACCACCUGGACUUUACACAGACAAACGUAUCUUUUUGACAAGAUCAGGAAGUUUUGAGACGAAGAGGCUAUGGACGUCACAUGCCCUGCGCCAAAGUCAAGGGCAGGAGAGAAACAGACUCUACGAAUGUAGAUUCCCUUGUUCAUGCGUGGUUCGGACAGACCAGUCAUCAGCACUAUCUGCAGUUCCUCUAUUCAAAUGACCCUCUCCUAACACACACGCCAUACGUUGCUGCUACAAAAACAAAAAGAUAUCCUGCUGCUCAGCCACUUUACCCCUGAUUGUAUGCAUAUAACUACCUUGUCUAUCACUGAUAUUGGUAUUGUUCUUGUACAUACUGCAUAUUAUUUUAUUUAUAUUGAUGCUAUUUCUGAUAUUGCUACUACACAAUUGACCAUUUGGCUGUACCGUUUACACCUUCUGUAGAGACCAAUCCACUUAGCAAGACUUAGCAGAAUAUUGAUAUAUAAAAUUAAUAUUGAUAUGUGUGGUCGUGAACAUGAUUUUGUGACAUACCGCAACAAUAUCAUGUGACCAUAUCAAGAGUCCACCACAUAAAUAUA